rnacentral:rRNA from 1 species
AGGACGAACGCUGGCGGCGUGCUUAACACAUGCAAGUGGAGCGACGAACCAGGGCUUGCCCUGGGGCAGAGCCGCGAACGGGUGAGUAACACGUGGGUAACGUGCCCCGAUGACUGGGACAACCCGGGGAAACCCGGGCUAAUACCGGAUAUGCCCCCUCGCAUCAGCGAGGUGUGUAAAGGAAGCUUCGGCCUCCGCAUUGGGAUCGGCCCGCGGCCCAUUAGCUUGUUGGUGAGGUAACGGCUCACCAAGGCCAAGAUGGUUAGCUGGUCUGAGAGGAUGAUCAGCCACACGUGGAACUGACGA